rnacentral:rRNA from 1 species
UACGUAGGGUGCGAGCGUUGUCCGGAAUUAUUGGGCGUAAAGGGCUCGUAGGCGGUCUGUUGCGUCAGGAGUGAAAACUCGGGGCUUAACCCCGAGCCUGCUUCUGAUACGGGCAGACUAGAGGUAUGCAGGGGAGAACGGAAUUCCUGGUGUAGCGGUGAAAUGCGCAGAUAUCAGGAGGAACACCGGUGGCGAAGGCGGUUCUCUGGGCAUUACCUGACGCUGAGGAGCGAAAGUGUGGGGGAGCGAACAGG